UACGUAGGGUGCAAGCGUUGUCCGGAAUUAUUGGGCGUAAAGAGCUCGUAGGCGGUCUGUCGCGUCUGCUGUGAAAACUCAGGGCUUAACCCUGAGCUUGCAGUGGGUACGGGCAGACUAGAGUGCGGUAGGGGAGACUGGAAUUCCUGGUGUAGCGGUGAAAUGCGCAGAUAUCAGGAGGAACACCGGUGGCGAAGGCGGGUCUCUGGGCCGUAACUGACGCUGAGACGCGAAAGCGUGGGGAGCGAACAGG
rnacentral:rRNA from 1 species